GAUGAACGCUGGCGGCGUGCCUAAUACAUGCAAGUCGAGCGAACAGACGAGGAGCUUGCUCCUCUGACGUUAGCGGCGGACGGGUGAGUAACACGUGGAUAACCUACCUAUAAGACUUGGAUAACUUCGGGAAACCGGAGCUAAUACCGGAUAAUAUAUUGAACCGCAUGGUUCAAUAGUGAAAGACGGUUUUGCUGUCACUUAUAGAUGGAUCCGCGCUGCAUUAGCUAGUUGGUAAGGUAACGGCUUACCAAGGCAACGAUGCGUAGCCGACCUGAGAGGGUGAUCGGCCACACUGGAACUGAGACACGGUCCAGACUCCUACGGGAGGCAGCAGUAGGGAAUCUUCCGCAAUGGGCGAAAGCCUGACGGAGCAACGCCGCGUGAGUGAUGAAGGUCUUCGGAUCGUAAAACUCUGUUAUUAGGGAAGAACAAAUGUGUAAGUAACUAUGCACGUCUUGACGGUACCUAAUCAGAAAGCCACGGCUAACUACGUG
rnacentral:rRNA from 1 species